UACAGAGGGGGCAAGCGUUGUUCGGAAUUACUGGGCGUAAAGGGCGCGUAGGCGGCCUGUUAAGUCGAACGUGAAAUCCCCGGGCUCAACCCGGGAACUGCGUCCGAUACUGGCAGGCUUGAAUCCGGGAGAGGAAGGCGGAAUUCCAGGUGUAGCGGUGGAAUGCGUAGAUAUCUGGAAGAACACCAGUGGCGAAGGCGGCCUUCUGGACUGACACUGACGCUGAGGCGCGAAAGCUGGGGGAGCAAACAGG
rnacentral:rRNA from 1 species